rnacentral:rRNA from 1 species
AUACGGAGGGUGCAAGCGUUAAUCGGAAUUACUGGGCGUAAAGGGCGCGUAGGUGGUUAGGUCAGUCGGAUGUGAAAGCCCCGGGCUCAACCUGGGAAUGCCAUUCGAUACUGCCUAACUAGAGUAUGGUAGAGGGAAGCGGAAUUCCGGGUGUAGCGGUGAAAUGCGUAGAUAUCCGGAGGAACACCAGUGGCGAAGGCGGCUUCCUGGAACACUACUGACGCUGAGGCGCGAAGGCGUGGGGAGCAAACAGGAUUAGAUACCCGAGUAGUCC